GUGGGGAAUUUUGGACAAUGGGCGCAAGCCUGAUCCAGCAAUGCCGCGUGCAGGAAGAAGGCCUUCGGGUUGUAAACUGCUUUUGUACGGAACGAAACGGUCCGGGUUAAUACCCUGGGCUAAUGACGGUACCGUAAGAAUAAGCACCGGCUAACUACGUGCCAGCAGCCGCGGUAAUACGUAGGGUGCAAGCGUUAAUCGGAAUUACUGGGCGUAAAGCGUGCGCAGGCGGUUUUGUAAGGCAGGCGUGAAAUCCCCGGGCUCAACCUGGGAAUUGCGCUUGUGACUGCAAGGCUGGAGUGCGGCAGAGGGGGAUGGAAUUCCGCGUGUAGCAGUGAAAUGCGUAGAUAUGCGGAGGAACACCGAUGGCGAAGGCAAUCCCCUGGGCCUGCACUGACGCUCAUGCACGAAAGCGUGGGGAGCAAACAGGAUUAGAUACCCGAGUAGUCC
rnacentral:rRNA from 1 species